UGCAGCUGGGGAUUCUGGGAGUUGUAGUCAACAUCUGGGAAUCCCUCUUACAGGGAACAUUGGUUGGUAUUGCCACAGUCUAUGUCAAAAAACUAUAUGAUUACAUCAAACACCCAUGUGUUGCUUUCUCUUUCCAUCAGUUUUGCUGCUGAUCUUCAAUGCCUUGCAAUUAUCAGCAUGGUACUGCUAGAUACUAUUCAGAGGAGCAAGGCUUUUUAUUUUCUUGUUUCAGAAAUGAACAUUAUAGCCAUAAGAGCUUUGACAAUAGAUGUAUCACAGUCUUUCUUUCCAGGAACUUAUUUUUACCAUCAUAGUUAUUUGUGACAAUUUCAUAUAAUAUAGAGUUAAAAUGCUGGCAGAUGGAUUUUUGUUCUUUUCUUCCUGAUGAUCUCUGCCAAUUAAAAAUAUAAGAGACCUGCUAGAUUAGGCCAAGUCCAGGAUUCUGUUUCCAACAAGGGCAGCCAGAUGUAUCAGGAAGCACUCAGGCAUGGUAUGAAAGCAACAGCCAGCAUGAUGUAGUGUAGUGGUCAGAAUGCUGGACUAGGAUCAGGGAAACCUGCGUCCAAAUCUCAGUUCAGCCAUGAAACUCACUGGGUGUCUCUGAACCAGUCACUUAUCUCUCAGCCUAAGCUGCUAACCCCUGUUAACUGAGCAAAGAGACACUUUUUAAAGUGGUGAUUCUCUUAUAUUGAGCAGGGGGAGAGCAACUGGCCCUGUCCAACCCCAGCAAAGCCUGUAGUUUGCAACAGCCUCCAGUGGCUGUUCCUGGUAUCUGCCUUACAUUACUUUUAAACUGUGAGUCCUUUGGGGACAGGAGACCAUCUUAUUUAUGUAUUAUUUAUUUUUCUAUGUAAACCGCUUUGAGAACUUUGGUUGAAGAGCGGUAUAUAAAUAUCUGUAGUAGAAGUAGUAGGUACUUCAGAGAGUUGUUAUGAGGAUAAGCAUAACUAUUUACACCACUCGGGGCUCCUCAGUGGAAGAGCCAGAUGUAAAAACAAACAAACCCUUCCCCUAUUGUCUGUACAACAGGGACUGAUAUGCAAAGGUACACUACCUCUAAACAUGAAGGUUCCAUUAACUCUCAUAGUCAAUAGCCAGGGGUGUAGUUAGGGGAGAGGGGACCUGUGUUCGCCCCUCUCUCCAGCGGCCCAUUGGGAUGAGGAAGAUAAUGAAGAAAAUAGGGAGGAGUGGAGCUGGGGGGCCCUCAGGAGCUCGGGGGCCCAGGUUCUUUCAACCCAUUCGGUCAGCUAUAGCUACACCUCUGUCAAUAGCCAGUGACUGCCCUAUUCUCCAUAAUUUGUCUAAUCCCCUAUUAAAAUUAUAUAUAAAAUGAAGAAUGUUAGUCACUUGCACUUUCACAAUUUAAAGGUUAAAUUUAAACAAAAGUUCAUAUUAUGCAAACCUCCAUCAUUUUGAGACAUUGAAGAAAAUGUAACUUACAUUUUAUUAAUUCACAACUGCCACUCAUUGUUAGGCAAUGUGAGGCAAUACUUAUUUUAGGUCCCUUCUAGCUCUAAAAUAUUCUAUUAUCUAUUUUAUUCUCACAGCAUCCCUGUGAGGUAAGUUAAGUAGGUGAAUUUCCCAGGAGCGUUGGGCUGACUGGACAGUGUUGGAAGGCGAAUACUGGCUGGACUAGAAGGGCCAGUAAAUGAAUAUUUAUGUUCUGAUAGAUGGAUGCAUGCUUGCAAAGAGUCACAUGUUUAUGGAUUGGAGGCUGACACAUGAACUGGCAUGCAAAUAUAUGCAAGGGUAUGGAUAGUUGAGAUGUGAUGUACAAAGGCCUGCAGUCCCAAAUGACAGAAAGAAAACAAGCCUAGACUGAUCCCAUAAUAGAACUGAGCAAGUUUCUCAUCACUUGAGCAGUCACAGGGGGAAAAGACUACCAACUCCUUCCACAAAUAAAACCUGCACAUCGUUUUCAAGGGACCUUGAGUAAACUGCUGUCUAUGGUCCCCCUCCUAAGUUUGUGGUGGCCUUACUUUAGUAGAUGGAAGAAAGGUGACAAUGAAACAACUCCCUUGCUCUGGAGUCCAUCUGCCACCACCAUACAAAAGUGAUGGGCACAGCAGUGGCCCCUUCUGGUGCCUGACUAUGCUGCCCUCUGACCUCAGUCCUCCGUUCACACAGGAUAACAACAUCUGAAGGCCCCAAGCCCACACAUAUUUACAUCCCAUUGACUUCAGCUGUGUGCUGCUUGGUGUCCUAUAACAGUGGCUCCCAGUUUAGGAAACACUGUCCUAUAGGAUCACAGAAAGGGUGCAGAAUAUUAUUUUGGGCACUAUGUUUACCUUCCUGAAAAUCCCCAGUAGUCAUUCUGGUUGCAAAGAUAAUCUUGAAACUGUGUGGGCAAAGCCUACUCAAAGCUCAGAUGUCAGAGCAGUGAACAUAACAUGAAAAGAGCCUUGCUGGAUCAGGCCCAUGGCCCAUCUAGCCCAGCACCCUGUUCCCCACAGUGGCCCAACAGAUGCCUCUGGGAAACCUACAACUAGGAGAUGAGGGCAUGUCCCCUCUCCUGCCAUUGCUGACCUGCAACUUGUAUUCAGAAGCAUCCUGCCAGGGGCAUAUCUACUGUGGGGCAGGUAGGGCAUGUGCCCCAGGCACCACUUGAGGGGGCGCCAUUUUUUAAAAUGGCUGCUGAAAACAAAAUGGCUGCCACGCAUGCUCAAAUGGCCUCUGUGAAGCCCUAGGCUAUCCAGGCCUCAGAGGUAAUUUGAGCAUGCAUGGCAACUAUUUUGUUUUCAGCAGCCUUUAAAAAAAAAUUAAAAAAUGGCCACCACACAUGCUCAAAUGGUCCCUGCAAGGCCCUAGAGGCCAGUGGGGGGAGGGGGAACCUUUGCAGACUCCCCCCCAUGGCCUUUAGGAAGCCCCCUGAAGGGGCUACAGGUAAAAAAAUAAACAUAUAUAAUAUAUAAUAUAAGUCACUGUGCACAUAUUCAGAUUGGCACUAUGUAUAGAGAAUCAGGGCUUGUGAAUACUGAGCUGAAGCUUAUGAGCUGGGAUUGUAUUCAUUUGCUCUUACUUUGCUUCUUGUUAUAAGUGAGUUAAAUGUGAUGUCUUAAUAAUAUGGCUAUUAAUGGCGAGUUUGUCUUUGAAUCAGUGUGAAAUCCUUAGUAUUAAGACCCACUCGAAGUUUCUUGCUCUCUUUCUCUCAUUUUAACUGUCUUUCUGAAAUACUAGAAUAUAUUCCAAACAGUGACAGUUUACUCUGCAUAUCCUUUAAUUAUUUUCAGAGUAUCUGGGAAAAGUCAAAUUCUCCAUUUAUUUUUAAAACCUAUGUAAUAGUGAUGCUACAAUGCAUAGUAGAGAAUUAGGCAGGAACUUCUGUUUAGUUUUCCAAGUACACCUCCACAUAGUAUUUCAUGAGCCCCAGCAUACUGAAAUUUGUAGUUUUUCAGCAUUUUUUGGUCUGGCUACAUUCACUGCUAAAUAGUUUUUGAAAUAUUAAAAGAUUAACGAGCUUGACAUGUAUUUUUCAGCUGAUAUUAUGGUAAAGUUAUCUGAAAGAUGAGUGUCAGAUAUUUGGACAUGGGGCGCAAUUUCAGUGCUAUUUUUCCUAGAUACUCCUCUGCAUCCUGCCUCUGAACCUGGAGGUAGCCCACAGCCAUCAUGCCUAAUAGUCAUAACACUUGUCCUCCAUGAAUUUAUCUAAGUCCCACUUAAAGCCAUCCAAGCUGGUGGCCAUCACCACAUACCACCACAGAGAAUUUCAUAGAUAUGUGCUGUGCAAAAAUGUACUUCAUUCUGUUAGUCCUAAAUUUCCUACCAAUCAGUUUCAUUGAAUGACCAGUGGUUCUAGCGUUAUGGGAGAGAGAGAAUAACUUCUCCCUAUCCACUCUCUCCGUAUGAUGCAUAAACUUUAUAAACCUCUACCAUGUCUCCCCUUUAGUCAACUUUUUUCUAAACUAAAACACUCCAAAUAUUGUAGCCUUAUUUUGUUAUGGAAGGUGCUCUGGACACUUGAUCAUCUUGAUUGCCCUUUUCUACACUUUUUCCAGUUCUACCUUAUCCUUUUUGAGAUAUGACCAGUGUACACUGUAUUCCAAAUGUGGCCACACCACAGAUUUGUAUAAAGGCAUAAUAAUAUUAGCAGGUUUAGGUCAGUUCCCUUCCUAAUGCCUUUUCCAUAGCUGCUGUGCACGGAGUCAACAUUUUCAAUGAGCUGUCCACCAUGACUCCAACAUUCCUCUCCUGGUCAAUCACGGAAAGCUCAGACUCCAUCAGUGGAUAGGUGGACAGAUUUUUUGUCCCAAUGUGCAUCGCUUUACACUUAACACUGAACCGCAUUUGCCAUUUUGCUGCCCACACACCUAGAUUUCACUACCUAAAUUGUUUAGCGUCAUUUGCAAAAUGAGCCACAUUGUGGCUUACCCCAAUUUCUAAAUCAUUUAUGACUAAAUUAAAAAGCACUGAUCCCAAUACAGGUCCCUGGAGAAUCCCACUUCUUAUAUCUCUCCAUUGUGAAUUUUUUUUCCAUUUGCAAGAGAUAUACAGAUAAUAGAUUUCAGCUCUUUGGUACAGAAUCUGACUUAUCUAGGCACAUUUUGGAUUUUUUUUUUAGCAGGGAGUAUUAUUUUUAUUUUGAAUAUUUAUAUAUAACUUCACAACCAAAAAAAGUUAACAUGGUUUACAUAGCAAAAGAAAUUUAAAAUGAUUCUUGCAAUCUAAUAAAAGAAAAACAGUGCACAAGGGAGCCACUAAGCCAUUGGAAAAGAUGCUAUCCUCUGUGAACAGAAAAUACAGAGUUCUAUGAAAGAAAGCAAAACAAAAAAUAAAAAACAAAAAACCCACACCAUACAUUGGAAACCGCUGAGAGUUUGAACCAGAGGACCUAAAAACUAUGAAUGCAUAUGGGAACUGUAAGAUGUUGAUUGUUUUUUUACUAUGUAGAUUAUUGACCUGUGUGUGUAUGUGGAUAUAUAUAAAUAUAGAAGCAUGCAGUUGAGUCAUGGAUUGUGUGUGUAUCUUUGCUUCCUUAUGUGAUUAUUUUAAUCUGUCUUAAUUAUAGUGUUUUGGAUAUGUUGGGUAGCUUCAGACUAUUUGUCAUCCUCUAGAAAGCAAAAGGCAUUACAUGAUUUGUACGAAAUGUAUUUGUUUUGUGAAAACUCACUGUUGAACAACCAGAAUUAAAACUAUGUAAUUUUAA